ACACAUUACAGCGUAUUAGAUUCAAAUUCAACAUAGGUUACAGCUAUCACAUUUUCUAUUAGGUUGUAGAAAGAUAUUACAGGCCCAACAUCAAUUUGCACAGAGAUAGUCACCUUGCUAUCAUCAAAGACUAUUCUAUCAGGUUCAUCUUUGACUCCUGACAUUAUCGUUAUCGUUAUCGUUAUUGUUGAUAUCGAUAUCUUCUCCUUUCUUUAUUACCAAUUGUAAGAGUGAGAGGUGUGGGGGUGUUAAUCUCAAACUCAACAUCCUUAGUGAUAGCUGGAGAAGAGAACGCUAGAGUAAGCGUGUUUAGAAAUGCAAUGGACGAGAGAGUUAAGAACGAGGAGGAGGAGUUUGGGGAAAGAUUGAUAGUGGAUGACUAUA
rnacentral:lncRNA from 1 species